AAAAAACAGAUAUUUGAUCAUCCAAAGACAAAGCCAGAAGACGAGAACAAUAAUUAUUUGGAUCAGGGUAGUUCGCGGGAGGUUGUGAUCAUUUAUAUUUUCAGAAGUCUGCCCUUCAUCUGUCUGCUGGUGGCGUUCUUUUACCUAAACAGGGACGACAAACGAGUCACAACAUCAAGAUCAGCAGUUGAGCAUGCUGUAAAGGUGGGAGAAGGACUAGACGAAGACCUGGAGGCCGGAGAGAUACGGAGAAAUGAAACUGAAGAGGCGAAACAGAGUGAAAAAGUUUCAGAACAGGAGAAAGAUAGAGUCAACAAUGAGAAACCUAAAGUUACUGCUGUAACAGAAGAAGAAAAAGAUGAAGAAAAGCAGACUGUGGUAAUUGUGAACACUGAACAAGGUACAUCUCCAAUGCAUGACAAUGAAAACAAGACUGUUUCUGUUCUGAACACUGAUGAAAAGGCACAUGUAAUGGCUGGCACUGAAGAAGGGACUGUUUCGGUAAUGGGCGACUUAGUUUCAGCUCUGUGAGACACAGGAUAUAGUGUCAUGGGUGUGGUUUUCAGGUCUGUGAUGUCACUUCCUGCAUGAUAUGCUUGUUUGCAGAAUCAUAAUGGUUUGCAGUGACUGUCACUGAAUUCUGAAAGUCAAUGAAAUAAAAUGUCUUGUGCAUGCCUGAAGCUUUCUGUUUGAUUGUGUGUUUUGUAGGAUUGUGUGUAUGGUCGUGUUCAGUUUGUCUGGGGUGAAUCGAGUGCAAGAUCAGUGUUGUGGUUUACUUGGGCUUCGCUGUGAUAAAAUUAGUUGCGUGGGGAGGGGGUAAAAAUCUGACAGUACGAGUGUCUCAGGCAUGUGAAAGAUUGUGAUGUGGGAGUGAAGCGGAUUCAGAUUCUCUGUAGACGCUCAGAAAUGAAGUGUUCCUCCAGACUCCUGUGUGGGCUCCUCAUGUCAUGCCUUUGUUUAAGAGUCACUGCUUUAAGUGAGGAGCUGUCUGUGACUCAGAGCCCGUCCAACAUCACUGUGAAUGAGGGAGAAUCUGCUAAAAUCACCUGCUGCUGGAAUGAAGGCAUGCAAAAUGCAAAAGUUUCUUGGUACAUCAAUGAGACAAAAUUUCAAGAACUAAAGCAGAAACUCCAAGAGCAAAGAAGAACAGAACUGUUCAAUUCUCAUCCUUACAAACAUACUUAAAAAUGAUGCAGGUCGUUAUGUUUGUGAAGUGAUUCAAGACAUACCAUUCCUCAAAACAGUGAAAACUAAUGGAACAACUCUAGAUGUCAGUGACAGUCAAAUAGAAAAGACAACAACUGUUUCUGACUCUUCUCAAACUGCUGAGACUACAACCAGUUCAUCCUCAGAGUCAGCUUCAUUUCCUAUCAUGCCUUUAUCCCUGGCUGCUUCCAUCGGCCUGCUGACCCUCUGCUUGGCCUUCAGUGUAUGCAAGAUGAGAAACUCCUGUAAAAAAUCAGAGCGAGUGGUCAUUCACCAAGGGCCACAAAGUGAGGGUGAGGAGCAUGAGAACAUGGAAGAGGAGGAUGGAAGCACAGACUCUUCUCGAGGAUCUCUCCAAUGGUAUCAAGUGCCUGUUUACUGGUCUUACUUUGAUCUACGGAGGGGUGAAGACCAAUGAAAACCAGAAAAGAAAGACGAACGUGAUGCACUGUUCACUGGAUAGCAUUUUGCAUUUUUUACAUUCGCAUUCUUUCGUGAGAGCAUCUUUGUAAAUAGCAGAAGCGAUUUUAACUGUAUCUUCUGUAUCUUCAGAUACAGUUGAAACCCUUUGAGCUCUUGAUGGUGGUAUCAGAUGUUAAUCUCUCUGUUUGUAGCAGCUUGAUAGUUUUAUGCAUUUUAAUUUUGUUGUUUUUUAUAUGUCUUUUUAAAAUAAAAGUGAACAUGUGUCAUACUGACAUGCAUGAUAAACUACUUCAAUUUCACACCCAGCCAGAUGCAAUUCAAACAUGUAUAAAAGUAGAAUACACUGCCUGCCCUUAAGUUUUUCUUUGUGUCUAAUCAUGAAAAGUUUUAUAGUAAAGAGGUUUAUACUGCACAGAUGUCGGCUAUGCCUUUCAGCCUUCUUAGAAAUGUUUCUAAGACUGACACUUUCUUACUGUGGUUUUUUGCCAUUUACAAUAAAGAUCUGUGAGAAUCA